rnacentral:tRNA from 1 species
AUUAUAGUGGCAGAUUAGUGCGUAGAAUUUAAGCUUCUAAUAUGGGGUUCUCCUAUAAUA